ACAAAUACGGAAUUGAUAAGUUUAUAUCCAAUCACAGUAUCAGCUGUUUGUGCAAGUCAAAUUAUUCAUGGAGAACAGGUAAGUAUUUUAAACUACUGAAUUUAGCUAUGAAGCCUCGGAGGUCUUCGCUUCUAUGGGACAUUGGGAUACAUAUGGUUUGAGCUGCAAAAACGACGAAUAGUACAAAUCAGUAAUAGCAAACAUAU
rnacentral:lncRNA from 1 species